CACGCCAUCUCUCUCUCACUAACACUUGAUCAUACUCCAUACUCCAAUUGAACACAUCCUCUUUGCAUACAAACUUUUCUAAGCUUUUGAAAAGACACCUUCUUCUCGAUAUCGUGGAAGUCAUGAGCUAUUGUCCUUCCUUGUAAUGUCCAUAGUAGACCAUUAGAAUUUGUGGCAAGGUGUUCCUUUGUAAGUAAAGUACCUAAGGUACAAAGCUUGAAGAUGAGUAUUGUUGGUGUGAUGAAUCGUUGCGUGCGCGGGGAAACAAAAGAGGGUUUUUGUUUAAAUGUAAUCUAAAUAUUUGACGUCGAUGGCUUGUAAUAUUUUUGGAUCCAAUAAAUAUUCUUUAGUUUUAAUUCAAUAAUUUUGAUA